AAACACAGUUUAGAGAGUGCAAAGUAACUUGCUCAGUGCAAGCUGACUGAAACUGCAGCAAGAACAACUAAUUCGUCCAGUGCCUCAUCCUUCCCCAGCCAGGAUCUCAAGCAUGAAUGUGUGGAAACCUGCACCCUUUUACCCAGGCAACCCGGCAGUGUGUGUUCAGAGGUGUUUCCCCAGCUUGGAUCUUCUCGGAAAAGUUUAUCAAGAUCAUCUGUAUACCAGUCUAUACCCCGUGAGCUCCACUGCCCUAUUCCACUGCCCUGAUCACUUUCUGCAUCAUCUAGUCUGCUGUAGAACUCCUCCAGUGUAUUUUCCAGAUGAACUGUCUCUACUUGAUAUUGUGCAUUGGAUCCCAUUUCCUCUCAUUACUUAAGAACUUGUCUUCUGAAGCAUCGAACUUUGCAUCGGAAUCCGGGGAUGUACUGUAUGCUGA